GCCCCUUGAUUUCAGUGGGGUUCUAAGCAGGUACCAGGGUCCUCUUUCACAGAAAAGUUUGCAGGAGCUGGGCCAUAAUUAACAUUUGCAAAGCAUUUGCUGGGUUUCAGAUAUAAAAAGCCUGUAGUGAAAUGCUAAGUAGGGCGAUAUACAAACCUUCCCAAACAAAAAAGCAUCCCAAAAAGCCAUCUCACAAGGACCCCCAAACAGAAUUGUCGUAGCUCAUAUCCUGAUAUAAGCAGCAAUACAACAACAUCAACCCCUACUAAGUACUUGGCAGGGCAAACUGAGCUUUCCAAAUGUAGAAAAAUAUGGGGUCUGAUUCUAUCACAAACUGAGAUAUUACCCCAGAAAAGGAGAAGUGCGAGAGACUCCCUGAAAUCUGCUGGGACUCCACUAUUCCUACUGAUUUUAUAUGGAAGAUACUCAGAUACCAUGGUGAUAGGUGGCAGUAUAAAACCCUAAGCUAGCUAGCUUCUGACUUCACUUACACUUGUGCAAACUAGGAUCAAUCCCCCUGAACUCAACAGUAUCACAUUGGUUUUAAUUCAAGAUCAUGGUUUAUUUCCCCCUUUCUUGGGCCCACUUUCUCUGAGCAGCUGAAAGGUACAUUCCUAUUUUUUAAACAAAACCUAUAAACAGUGCUAGAGCCUGUGUUAUAUAAACUAUAAGGAAGACAGGCAAAGGCAACAAGAAGUUUGUAGAACUGAGAAACUCAUCCUCCCAGAUUAUGCAGUAUAGCUUUCUGCAAAUUCAGAAUGGUCAGGAGCCCAUCUGGCCAUGAAGAAACUGGAAUGGUUUUGAAAAUAAAGUGUUUAAUUACAAAUGGCCUUUUCCUGGCUGCCUGCUGCUGAUAGCCAUCUUGCAGAAGAGAUAUCGCUUGCAACACUGAGCUCUAGUUAGUUUCCAACCUUUCUUAAUAUUAGCAAAGAAAAAAGCUCGUUAAAAAUAACAGUUGGUUAAAAUAUAGAACAAUAAAGUUCUUUGUAAGCAGCCUAGGGCUUUUAUCUAUCUGUCUAUGUACUUUGAGCUUAAUUUGUGCCAGCCUGGACCCUGGCAGAAUAUUCAGAAGCAGAAGAAAGUCUGCAGGGGGAAGAGAUUAUGGGAUCUGCAGAAAAUAGCUGUGAUCUUCCUUGCAUUAAGGAACCUAAAAUCAGUGCAGCUCUGAAAGUGUGUGGGACUGCCUGGUCUGGAAACAAGGUGUCACCUGGGGUAUAUUCAGAUUCAGAGCAUCUACUUUACAAUCUCCAGCUGCAUCAGGCUGGUGUAGGGGUGCUAUAAAAAAAGCCUAAGAGAGCCAGGAGUUAGGGUCUGACAUAAAACCACUUGAGAUCAAUAGGUUAUCCCCCCCCCCCCUCCUUCUGAUGAUGAUACCCUGGUCAUAUCCAAGCACCAAGUCACUCUUUGUUCUGCCUGGGAGAGAAUCCUCUUGGACCAGUGUUUCCCAGCAUGCAGUGAGAGAAGACACCCUGUGGCACCGUUGGCUGUCCAUGAGCUCUUUCCACCCUGCAAAGACACAGACUGCAGUAUCACUGCCAUUGGCAUGCUGCACGCCUGCAUAAACCGGCAAGGAAGAUGAUGAAAGAUGUCGGAUGCUGAGCUAUCAACACCAGGGAUUCUCAAUCUAAAUUUUGUAGUGUGGACAAUACCUGUCUCACUCAAUCAUUUGAAUCCACCCACACUCCCUCAUGCAACUGCUUAACAACUCUGUGGCACCUGCAGCAAUCGCUAAUGUGCACGAGCAACAGCAGUUAGAAAUUAAAUGUAUUUUUAGCUGCCUUUUAAUUUUAUUUAGCAGCUGGCAACAUGGAGCAGCCCACAGUGCCAUCUGACCAGCCAGCUCUCUGCAGAGCACAAUCUGAGCACUUUUUGCUCUACACCCUACAAACACAGCAAAACAGAAAAGAUCAUAUAAAAAUGAUGUUUCUGAAUAUAGGUAAUUGUUUGGAACAGUGAUACCUUCAAUUUGAA